rnacentral:rRNA from 1 species
UACGUAGGGGGCUAGCGUUGCUCGGAAUCACUGGGCGUAAAGGGUGCGUAGGCGGGUUUUUAAGUCAGGGGUGAAAUCCUGGAGCUCAACUCCAGAACUGCCUUUGAUACUGAAGAUCUCGAGUCCGGGAGAGGUGAGUGGAACUGCGAGUGUAGAGGUGAAAUUCGUAGAUAUUCGCAAGAACACCAGUGGCGAAGGCGGCUCACUGGCCCGGUACUGACGCUGAGGCACGAAAGCGUGGGGAGCAAACAGG